rnacentral:tRNA from 1 species
UCCGUUAUGGUGUAGUGGCUAGCAUCGGCCGCUCUCACGGGCCAGACCGGGGUUCAAUUCCCCGUAACGGAA